UUCCUGAAUUAUCCUCAUUUUGGCGCCUUAAAUUAAAUUAAAGAAGGUUGUAUUGUUUAUGCUAUUCUAACGAUCCAUUGGAAUUUAGAAUUUUCUAAUUUCUUAGAAAGGGACACGACCUAUACGAAUACAUAGUGUAUAAGGAUGUUUCUCUAUCUCUCUCUCUCUCUCUCUCUCUCUCUCUCUCUCUCUCUCUCUCUCUCUCUCUCUCUCUCUCUCUUUCUCUCUUUCUCUCUUUCUCUUUCUCUCUCUCUCUCUCUCUCUCUCUCCCUCUCUCCCUCUCACUGUACUCUCGCAGCGAAGAACGAGUUCUUCGUUCGUGACGAUCCAAUCUAUUUCUGUCCGAGGAUGGUCGUGAUUAAUAUUUCGGGUAGUUCUUAUUGCCAAGUCGAAGUAAAGUCUGGCCGUGUAGUUUAAAAAUAGCUGUGGAGACGCGUGUCGUGUCCCCGUCGGGGAAAUUGAGUUUCUUUUCUUUCUCAUUUUCUCGCUGUAUUUGUCUCCUACACCGUUCCUUUCUCGCUUCCCAUCAUCGUGAAUGAUCUUUGAUGAUAUGAUAGUAACGAAGUUUAGACGGGGAGAUAUGUGACUAUUUCUCUUUUUUUUUAAAUUCUGAAUAGUUAUCGUUAAAUGAUGAAAAUAGAAGAACAACGCGAUUCGAAUAAUAUUACCAUUCCAAUAAAGACUUACCGGCAUAAGGACCCGAAGGUAAAGCGUUAUCUUUACCACUUUUUCCAUCUUUACUGCUACUCCCUGAAACAAUGAAAAGAAAAUUGCAUAUUAUAUACAAAUAGAUGCUUGAUAUAAUAUCAUACGGACGUAUAGAAUAGCAUACUACUACGUUAUGGAAUAGAAAGUACUAAUAUACAUAUACUUUUCAUAAAUAUAUAGUUUUACCUUCGAAAAUCAAACUACGUACCUAAUAUGAACCGAGUUGAAUCGGUGUCUAAUAGUAAGAGAUUAGCAAAGUGGACGCGUCGUUCGAUAUUCUGCUAAUAGACAAAGUAGCUUGUUACUUGAUAUUUAAAGGAGAUUUUUGUUCGAAAGGUGAAGAUUCCGACUGGAGAAAAUUCCUCGAAAAGCACGUAAAUUGAUAUACAUUAUAUAGCUAUAUGCUCUAUAUACUUAAUGAGUUACGAGUUAAAAGUUACUUUUUAUUUUCCAUGAGCAAUAAAGAGUAAUUUCUUUCCAUAAGGAACAAAGAAUUUUUGUUCGAAAAAAUGUUUUCAUUUUCUUGGAAACAGAUGUGUACGAGGAUAUAUAUCAAUAGUAGGAUAUGUAGAUAUAUAUCGGUAACGUCCACGCUUGAAAAAACUAUAAGAGUAGAAACUGGAAGGUAGAAAUAGAGAGUGCUUCAAAGAAAUAGGGACAUGGAGGCAAACUAGUCGUAAAGAGAACAACCGUUUGCAGAAAAGCUAAGUAAGUUGCACCAAGUUCAGCUUCGUGGGCUAUAUUUCAUAGUCAUCUAAGUCUUUGAACUGAUCUUUGUUAUCUAUCUUAAAUGGGUAUAUGUACUAUAGUACGAAUACAUAGCUGCACUGUCUUGAUUUUUUUCCGAUGAAUUCGCACAUUCAAGUGGCCAGAUCGUAAUUAAGAUCCGUUCAUUUUUACGAAAAUAUGCGAGUGGAAAGCAUUUACUUAGAUUCUGGAACUCGUUUAAAAUCAUCCGUUGGAUCUGUGGAGAUUUUUAUACAAAGAGUUUUUGUAUUUUCUUUUCGAUGAAUAUCCUUCGAAAAAGUAAUUGCGAGAUUUAAGAGCACGAAGUGGAUGUUAAUGCAGAGUUUUUGUAAGAAUGACACAGGUGUCAAAGCCAAUGAAUUAACAAUAAAUGAAAACAGUUUAAUUUAAGGAUAUUGAUGUCAUCGAUAAUCAUAAAUCUACAUAUCUGAGAUUUUAAGUUUAACGAUAGUUUAAAUCGCUAUGGUAUCCAUAACAUAGCCAUUUAAAUGUUAGAAACAUUAUUCUAAAAAAUUCGAAUAUUAUGGUCUCAUGAUGAGACGGCUAAGUGCAAUAUUUUGUUGUCGUCACUAAAGAAUGUAAGUAUGUGGCCGAUGACUCGAUGUCAUGGCGCCUUAUGCCGCUUGAAAGGGAGUUAAUAUUUGAAACAAAGCAUCUGGUCACAGAGUGAAGGUACCAACCUUCUGAUAAGAGGAUUGAGUUUGAUUGCUCAGUAUUUACUCGGCGAUUAUUUUCUAACACGUAUUAGCUAUAUAUAAUUUUUUUCAGAAUAAAGAUAAAUAAGAAUAAGAAUAAAGAUAAAUGUUUGAAGAAACGUUUUGCAUUUCGUAAUUGAACAUUCUUUUCUGUGUCUGUACCGAAAUUCAAUUGAAUAAGAUUCCACAAAUAGGAAAUUCAUAUUCGAAGAAUGAAAAAGCCGAAGAUUCGUGCAAGCGCGGGCUUUUUUCAUAAGCGAUCCUGAAUGAAAGCUCACCGAUGAUAUUCUUGAAUGUUCUAACAGUUCCUCGGAGCAAAGUCGCUUGAUACAGCACUGCCAUUGGCGGAUGUAUGGUGAACCGUUAAAAAGUUAGAGGUUUUGCCGUUUCAAAGCGACAGUGUAUUCGGGAAAUAGCAUCGGGAAAGAUCGGAAAGGAUCGGAAAGGAUCGGAAAGGAUCGGAAAGGAUCGGUAAGGAUAGUUCGAGGACGUCCGAGAUCUUAUUUUCGCGACAUGCUGCAACCAGCUGGUACUUUUUGAUGAGUAGAUAGCUAGAAAAUCGUCCCCUGCAGCGACAGAAGUUCCUCGUAGCUGACUCGAUAAAAACUAGUUGAUAUAAGUACGGAAACUAAACUACAUGUUUAUCUGUGACGAUAUUAUUACAACUAAAUUUCUCUUUUUCGCAUUUAUUGGAUGCUAAAUAAACUUGCCUACGUUGUCUUAUCGUCUUUCUCUAUCUAUCUACUCAGUACGAAGAAUUCUUAUCAUCGAAGCCGGUACAAAUGUACUGACGCUUUGGUAAUAAAACAUCGUCGAGAUUGCCAUCCAGUACCAUUUUAAAAUGUACCUAUGUAAAUUUGAUUUAUUAUUACGAAUCGUAACUUUUUAUUUUAGACCGGUAUUUUUUUCUUUUCUCUAUUGGAAGAGGAGUACUUUCACGUCUACUGUAAUUUAUUUAGUCGUGGUCAAAAGAAAAAAAGAAGAAAAGAAGACAUGUUUCGCUCUCAAAUACAUUUUCUCUCGUGAACCUUUCUUUCCGUGACUUUUCAACGCGUAAAAUCGAAUAAAAUUCUAAUGAAUAUUUAUUAUAAAUAUUUUGAAUUCAUUCUCAAUGUUUAUAUGACUCCUUAAAUCGUAUCCUUUACUUGUGAGGAUAGUGAAGAUCGGGGUAGUUAGCACGACUCAUACACAUGUGCCCGGUGCAGCCGAUACAGCGAUUGCCGUAUUUUACACAAGUUGUUUGAGAAAAUUAACGAAAUAUACUUCAUCUACAUUAAGUACUUCAGUAGACUUUCGAUUAUGUUUUCGAUGAAUUAAUAAGGAAAACAAAAUUAAAUUGUUUUUCCAAGUUUCCAAGCAAUACAAUUUUCAAGCAAUGAAAAAUCGGACUUGAAAAACAAUGUGCAAUUUCUGCUGUCGAAUUGUACUCUAACUUUGUAAGAAAGAUACAUGAACGAAUAUGAACGAUUUCUAUUUUGGUCGAGAAACUACAGUCGGCUUGUAGCGACACUUUUUUAGUUCCACACAUGUUUUCUAUAAUCGCAAGGAUUUUGUUCUCGUGAUUAACAACGAAACUGCUCGUCGACAUUGUUUCUCGGUGAUGGACGCAACUCACCCAUUGUAGGAUGCCGCACGCUGCGUAUUUUAUUUUAGUACUCUCGGCAUCUCAAGCGUCGAAUCUGAGAAUUCCAAUGUGAGCUGACUAACUAGUUGCUCGAUAUGUAUGACUGUAUAACAAGAGUUUACUUUUCAACUGUUUAUCUAUCUAUCUAAAAACAUCCACACAUUCUAAUUUUCAUGAAAUUAUUAUGACAUUGUCGAUAGUUGGCACUAGAAUAGAGCAACGACGUCGAAGCAGACGUCGAUAACAUGGACACUCGUUGGAUCGAGCACAUGUUUGAAAUCCAUGAGCAUAUCGCGGCAAUGUCUGCUACGUAGAAUGUAAUGACGUAGUAAUAAUUAAAAACAUGAGGACAUUGUCAACCGAGAUCCAUUUGGACGCGUAAACAAUCUUCGAAUGUUUUAAUCUCCGGAUUUCUAUCUAAGGUAAGUAUAAAUUUAUAAGUUAAUUUUUCAGCUAAAUAUGAUAAUACGAUUUGAUCAAGGCGAUCGAAUAUUAUUGACAAAAUAACAAUGACAUCUAUAAAAAAAAAGUUUUUUAACCGAUGAUCGCGAUUAGGAUGUAGUUCCAUGAGGAUUGAAGUGUAUCUCUCGUGAUUGCAUCUAAAAAUGUUUGUUGGAGUGUCGAGAAAGGUUCGCAUUUCCGUGUCAUAGUGCGCGCCGAAAGAGCUGGUCGAUAUUUUUUGUCAUCGCGCGCAAAGCAGCUCGGUCGGGAGGAGGAUGAGCUUGAGAAAGCUUCGACGAGUGUCUCAAGAAACAAAGAGAUGUUGCAUCGUUUUCAUAGAUCUUCUAUCGCCUUGUUUUUUCCUCCUUUUCCUUGUUCAUAGGUCGAUGUAGAGGAUAGGUAGAGGUUGGCGACGUUGGCGGUGGCGUCUCUGCUAGAGGUGAAACGUUUGGAGUCCGCCGAAGGGUCGCUAGACAGGACGGUAGACAGGAGUAACGAUUGCCACCCCAGCCGCGCCGAGAUGGUCGCCCCCUACAGCUGCUUCACCCCUACGUGCUACCCAUUCGGUGAGCGCUACUAACCUAGCCGAAAACAUCUCCCACUGGCCUUUAAAAGAACGUGAGAAAUCACCUCAAGAAUUUUGUUGGAUUUCCAGCAUUUAUUUUCUUCGCUGUACCGGUCUGCUGACUGCUGCGCCACCGCCGACGUCGUUGUUUCUGCUGCUGACAGAGUGUUGCGGAUAAACGAAGGAGUGGGAAUAUGUCGUCGUCCACGUUAGACGACGCGCGAUUGACUCGUCUUUAGCGAAAUUAUCGACCGUUUUCUUUUACCGUUUUUUAAUUAAAACAAUCUUUUCUUGAAAGGGAUUAAUGAAAUAAUGUUUUGAUGUAAUGUUGAGAGAUAUAACGAUCAAAUUUCUUUUUAAUGAAAAAAGUCAAAUAUGAAUGAUGACUAAUAAGCUAAGUUAUCUUUACAAAGCAUCGACGAUUGUAGAAAUUUCUAUGAUCAUUAAAGCUUAGUUAAUCGGCAUGAAGCAGUCCCUUAGUUACAUUUAAUAAUGCGUUAUUAGGAAAUUAAGAAACUAGGGAAAAAAUGAAAAAUAUUGUUCUCUAAAACAAGAAUGUCCAAAAUUUUUUUAGACAUUUAAAGAAGGAAACAAUUUUCUUUGUGAUUGAUAUUUAAAUUAAUAUUAAUUGCUUGUAAAUAAGUGGUUAAGCUAAUAAAAUCUAAUGAUAUAAAACCAAA